rnacentral:rRNA from 1 species
GACGAACGCUGGCGGCGUGCCUAAUACAUGCAAGUCGAGCGAAGUUUUUCUGGUGCUUGCACUAGAAAGACUUAGCGGCGAACGGGUGAGUAACACGUAAAGAACCUGCCUCAUAGACUGGGACAACUAUUGGAAACGAUAGCUAAUACCGGAUAACAGUAUUUCUCGCAUGAGAGAUAUUUAAAAGUUGGUUAUGCUAACACUAUGAGAUGGCUUUGCGGUGCAUUAGCUAGUUGGUGGGGUAAAGGCCCACCAAGGCGACGAUGCAUAGCCGACCUGAGAGGGUGAUCGGCCACACUGGGACUGAGACACGGCCCAGACUCCUACGGGAGGCAGCAGUAGGGAAUCUUCCGCAAUGGGCGAAAGCCUGACGGAGCAACGCCGCGUGAGUGAAGAAGGAUUUCGGUUCGUAAAGCUCUGUUGUUAGGGAAGAAUGGAUAUGUAGUAACUAUACAUGUAAGAGACGGUACCUAACCAGAAAGCCACGGCUAACUACGUG